GACGAACGCUGGCGGCGUGCUUAACACAUGCAAGUCGAACGGAAAGGCCCUGCUUUUGUGGGGUGCUCGAGUGGCGAACGGGUGAGUAACACGUGAGUAACCUGCCCUUGACUUUGGGAUAACUUCAGGAAACUGGGGCUAAUACCGGAUAGGAGCUCCUGCUGCAUGGUGGGGGUUGGAAAGUUUCGGCGGUUGGGGAUGGACUCGCGGCUUAUCAGCUUGUUGGUGGGGUAGUGGCUUACCAAGGCUUUGACGGGUAGCCGGCCUGAGAGGGUGAACGGCCACAUUGGGCCUGCGAUACGGCCCAGACUCCUACGGGAGGCAGCAGUGGGGAAUAUUGCACAAUGGGCGGAAGCCUGAUGCAGCAACGCCGCGUGCGGGAUGACGGCCUUCGGGUUGUAAACCGCUUUCGCCUGUGACGAAGCGUGAGUGACGGUAAUGGGUAAAGAAGCACCGGCUAACUACGUG
rnacentral:rRNA from 1 species